GUGGUGUAUGCUGUUGCAUAAACAUACCUUUCAUUUCUAAAGUAGGUCAUGUGGUGUAUGCUGUUGCAUACACAUACCUUUCAUUUCUAAAGUAGGUCCUGUGGUGUGUGCUGUUGCAUAAACAUACCUUUCAUUUCUAAAGUAGGUCCUGUGGUGUGUGCUGUUGCAUAAACAUACCUUUCAUUUCUAAAG